rnacentral:rRNA from 1 species
ACGGCCGCAAGGUUAAAACUCAAAUGAAUUGACGGGGGCCCGCACAAGCGGUGGAGCAUGUGGUUUAAUUCGAUGCAACGCGAAGAACCUUACCUGGUCUUGACAUCCACGGAAGUUUUCAGAGAUGAGAAUGUGCCUUCGGGAACCGUGAGACAGGUGCUGCAUGGCUGUCGUCAGCUCGUGUUGUGAAAUGUUGGGUUAAGUCCCGCAACGAGCGCAACCCUUAUCCUUUGUUGCCAGCGGUCCGGCCGGGAACUCAAAGGAGACUGCCAGUGAUAAACUGGAGGAAGGUGGGGAUGACGUCAAGUCAUCAUGGCCCUUACGACCAGGGCUACACACGUGCUACAAUGGCGCAUACAAAGAGAAGCGACCUCGCGAGAGCAAGCGGACCUCAUAAAGUGCGUCGUAGUCCGGAUUGGAGUCUGCAACUCGACUCCAUGAAGUCGGAAUCGCUAGUAAUCGUGGAUCAGAAUGCCACGGUGAAUACGUUCCCGGGCCUUGUACACACCGCCCGUCACACCAUGGGAGUGAGUUGCAAAAGAAGUAGGUAGCUUAACCUUCGGGAGGGCGCUUACCACUUUGUGAUUCAUGACUGGGGUGAAGUCGUAACAAGGUAACCGUAGGGGAACCUGCGGUUGGAUCACCUCCUUACCUUAAAGAAGC